UACGUAGGUGACCAGCGUUGUCCGGAUUUACUGGGCGUAAAGAGCGCGCAGGCGGUCGUUCAAGUCGAGUGUGAAAGCCCCCGGCUCAACUGGGGAGGGUCACUCGAUACUGAUCGACUUGAAGGCAGGAGAGGGAAGCGGAAUUCCCGGUGUAGUGGUGAAAUGCGUAGAUAUCGGGAGGAACAUCAGUUGCGAAGGCGGCUCUCUGGACCAGCACUGACACUGAGGCACGAAAGCGUGGGGAGCAAACAGG
rnacentral:rRNA from 1 species